rnacentral:rRNA from 1 species
CCUAAUAGCACCCUGAACAUGCCAGGUUUUGUCUGAUCUCAGAAGCUAAGCAGGGUUGGGGCCUGGUUAGUACCUGGAUGGGAGACUGCCUGGAAAUACCGGGUUCUGUAGGC